GACGAACGCUGGCGGCGUGCCUAAUACAUGCAAGUCGAGCGCAGGAAACUGACGGAACUCUUCGGAGGGAAGGCAGUGGAAUGAGCGGCGGACGGGUGAGUAACACGUAAGGAACCUGCCUCAAGGAUUGGGAUAACUCCGAGAAAUCGGAGCUAAUACCGGAUAGUUCAACGGACCGCAUGGUCCGCUGAUGAAAGGCGCUUCGGCGUCACCUUGAGAUGGCCUUGCGGUGCAUUAGCUAGUUGGUGGGGUAACGGCCCACCAAGGCGACGAUGCAUAGCCGACCUGCGAGGGUGAUCGGCCACACUGGGACUGAGACACGGCCCAGACUCCUACGGGAGGCAGCAGUAGGGAAUCUUCCACAAUGGACGAAAGUCUGAUGGAGCAACGCCGCGUGAGUGAUGAAGGUUUUCGGAUCGUAAAACUCUGUUGUAAGGGAAGAACACGUACGAGAGGUAAUGCUCGUACCUUGACGGUACCUUACGAGAAAGCCACGGCUAACUACGUGCCAGCCGCCGCUGUAAAAC
rnacentral:rRNA from 1 species